AUUCAAACAGUUUUGGAAACUUUAGAGUGUUUUCUAUCCAUAUAUAAUAAGUAUAUGCAUAUUGUAGUUACUGGGUAGGAUUAGUAACCAGAUUAAAUCGGGUACAUUUUUUUUAUCCAGACGUGCAAAUGCUGCCCCCUAGACCCAACAGGUUAACUAGCUUUUAGCCCUCUAAACUGGGUCGUUUUUGUAUUAAAUUCAAUUUAGCUUUGUUUGUCAAAUUUGUCUGGGGGUGCAUAAAAAUCGCAGAAAAGCUCCAUUGUCUAUUGAAACGAUGUCAAAUGAUAGCUCUAGUCACACUGGAACAGACCAUGUGUGCUACAUUACUGAGAAUGUCCUAUUUAACUAGCUUUUAGCCCUCUAAACUGGGUCGUUUUUGUAUCAAAUUCAAAUUAGCUUUGUUUGUCAAAUUUGUCUGAGGGUGCAUAAAAAUCGCAGAAAAGCUCCAUUGUCUAUUGAAACGGUGUCAAAUGAUAGCUCUAGUCACACUGGAACAGACCAUGUGUGCUACAUUACUGAGAAU
rnacentral:lncRNA from 1 species